CUUCAGGUACGUUGACGCAACCUGUCAUUCAGCGCACAGGGAGCCUUCCUGUGCAGCGCGGGUAGCAAGUUAACAAAAUGGACCGAUUUGUUAAGCUGCACCAUCCACAUCAUCAAGCGAACCUGAUACUGAACAUUCAAAACGGUCUCGAAAAUAUGAUGAAUCAUUUCUUCGGUAUGGAUUUACGAGCGUCAUCGUGAACAACACGGAAAAGCCCAAAUGCCUCUUGUGCGGUAUUGUGCGGAGAGUAUGAAACCAAACAAAUGUAAAAGACACUUUGAGACAACACACAAAGAAUACAUGGGGAAGCCAAAAUCAUGUUUCGAAAGAAAACGUGAUGAGCUGAGCAGGCAGCGGAUGCACUUUAGAAAAGUUCCCUUCGCAAGCACUUAUUUGUGCGAAGCAGGACUUAGCGCUCUUGUUUGCAUGAAAUCAAAGUACUGUUCCAGGCUAGACGUGACAGAUGAGAUGAGAUGCGCGCUCUCGACUACAGCCCCUGACUUUGAUAAGCUGCAGCGCGACCAUCUCAAUAGACAUGUAAGCUACCAACCAGCAAGGGGUGCUGUGGCAAAUCCUACUUCCCACGGCUGCAGGAAAGAGGGAUGGAAAUCUGUAAGUUUCCAAAUUUCCACAAAUAAAGGCUAUGGCUGGCAUUUCCUGGAGGAGUCAGAGGAGGAAGAGGACUGGGACGGGCUGGAUGGGUCCAGAUUGUGCAAAUGUGUUGGAACCUUUGCCACUGUGGGUACUGUGCCCUGCCUGGGGAACCCAAGACCGGCCACACGCUAUCCAGAGGUGCUGCUAGAAAUGAGUAUGAGUGUCUGAGUGAAUGGUGAGGGAAUGGUGUGUGUGUGCUGUGAUAGAUUGCUGACCUGUCCAAGGUGUUUUCCUGCCUCUAGCCCAAUGCAUGCUGGGAUAGGCUCCAGCACCCCCCGCGACCCUGAUCAGGAAUAAGUGUGUAUAGAUAAUGGAUGGAUAUAUCCAGUAUAUAUAGACACACACUGACCAUAUUGGCAAUAUUCACACAGAUAUAUACAAUACUUGUGUGUGAUAUGUGUAGUUGUCUGUUCAUGUGUGCAAGUGUAUAUUUGCAUGCAUACGUGUGUAUUUGUGCCUACAAAUAUCUUUUGUCAUUUUAAGAAAACCUAUGAAUAACCAUAAUUGAGCUUUGACCUGUCUGCUGUUCUGUUAGUAAAACACAUAAAGGAUUUAAAAGCUGUGUAGUGCUUGAAUACUCCCCUCAGUAUGUCUUGUAGGGCAAAGCAACUACUGUUGGAAUCUUCCCAAGCUUUUAAAGUAAUGUCUCAAAUGCACUGUAGGUAUCUGGUGUCAGAAGC